GGGAAAUAAUGGGGAUGAUAAUAAAACAGGGGGAAAACCCGUCCGAGGGAAGCUGAAUGGAUGGAGCCAGAGAGACGUCACGGCCAGCCGCAGCCAUGAAGACUGAGCGGUCCAGCCUCUGGCAGCUCAGUUGGUCUCCAUCUCCCGAGCCGCUCGCUCCUCGGUGUCGGAGAGCGGACGCAGCAGCGACUCGCAGACGACGGCGACAGAACUUGGCCCAUGGUACUUCGCCUGCGGCUUGAGAGGAUGGGUAGCCUUAGGGGUUGGUUGUUAUCUUUGGUUAUCUAGCUGUAUGAGUGAUGUACAUUCUUCAUAAAGCUAGAUAACCGAAAGUAACAAGAAUCCCAUUACACUCCUGAAAAGGCAUCAAGACCCCAAACGCGCCUCCCUCCAAAAAAACAAACUCUGCCACAAGAACUGCAACACGAGAAAAGAAAAUGGACAACAUUUAAAAGGAGAUGGGAGUGGAAUGCAGCAAAAGGCUACCACCACCACACCACUGAAGAAAAGCUGGCAAAAGGAGACUGAAAAACAGAGAAGAAGGAGGAGGAGGGGUUGCUGUUGAUUCUGCCCUCCCUCUCUCCUCGCCCUCCUCUGCAUCGCCUCUUCCCUCCUCCUCAUCCUCCUCCCUUCUUCCUCCGCUCCAUCCUCAGCAGACUGCCCCUUUUUCCUGUACAGCGAGAAGCAGCCCGCGCCACCAUCUUAGAGCAACGCUGGCAUGAAAUGGAAGUGGGAAGACCAGUCAGUGCAGGUGAAUGUUGUCGGUGCAGGGGGAUCCGAAACGGCUAGAGCACACAAUGGAGGGAUAGCAGGACAACUCCCUCGGCGGCCAUUUGCCGCCUUUCAACCAGGACUAAACAAGAACGAUGGCAUGGAUGUCUGCACAUGACUCAGUGGCGAUUCCUGCCCUGACUUUGGAACAUCGCUGCACUGUUUGUAUCUCUUUGAUGCUGCUGUGUGAUGCAUUAUUUGACCCAACAUUCAAACUGGACUGUUUGUGAACGCCUUGUGGUGUUUUAGCUGAGCAAACAUCAUGGUGGACUGUGACUGUGGGAAACAAGGCCCAGAGAGAAGAUCAUCUUGAGGUGUAGACAAACUGGUCCAUAAUUGUGACUCUUGUUUUCGUUUUUGAGGGUGUGGCACUAUAUUUUGUAAUUAUUAUAUAUAUAUAUAUGUUUAUGCCUAAACAAUAUUACUUAGACAUGAGUUAGUCUUCAACUAACAUAGGCCUGACUUACUGUAGGUCAUAAUUGAUGAGUUGUAGCCCACGUUUAGUUUGAUUUCUGUUUUGUUAUAGUUGCUAGGACUCAAAGACACGUGAAUGUGAGACCCACGGCAGCAGUGAAUAAUACUGCACUGCGAUUGGACAGCUCCGUGUGUCGGCUGACACAAUGGCGUAGGAGUGAGCUGUCGUCUUUAUACUCUAUGCAACUGUUUUAUCUUUUUUUUUUCUGUUUUUUUUUUCGUCUUGAAACCCAGUUGGGCAGAGCCCCUUUCAUCAUUACUCUGGAUUUUUUUGGGCUACCAGUUUAUAGACAUUCCUUCAGACAUCAUCAAAAGAAAUGGUUUCUGGAGAGACUACAUUCCGUUGUUAAUAUACUGAUACAGAAAUUACAGUGUGUGUGUGUGUGUAUGACAAAUGUCAGAAUACAGCUCAGUUUCAUAUGUAUUGAAUCUCAUAUUUGUAGCUUUAACAGACUUUGAUUUGACGGUGCAGCCAUGAGUCACAGUCUGAGUAAAUGUGGACUCACACGUUUAAUAUUCAGAAGAUAUAUGGCAUAAGUGUGUUUGAUCAGCAGGAAGUAGCUGAGCAUGGCUCAUGGCUGCGUGUGUACAGAACAUGCCACACUAUUAAAACCUUCCCAGCAGGCUUUGAGACGCAGCAGUUUGGUUCAUAGCAGUUACCUGCUUGGCUGUAAUGAUACAUCUUUGGGUGAGACAUGACAAAUACAUUGGCUUCAAACACUGCCUUAAUUUCCUGUCCUUGACAUUAACACACACACACGCGCGCGUGCACACACACACACACAUACCCAAAUGCAAUAAAGCAAGUACUAUCGCAGCCUAAUUCAUUCUAUAUUAAUUUUCGGGAAGUGGCAAUUUUUUAUUACGAUUGAUAAUCUAUGCAAAUCUUUUAAAUAUUACUUUAAACAAUCUAUGUCUAUGCAGUGCUUCUGCAAUUGAUUCAAGGGAGACUAUCUUGGCCUAAUUUAGAAAAUGUAUUCUUUUGAUAAUCAUGCACAUCCCAGUGCUCAAGACAAUUACUUAUCUGCCUGGAUAAGCUUGAAAUUAUGUUUUUAAUCUUUAGCAAAAAAAAAAAGUCACUCUUCUGAUAUCAGUCCAGAGGCAUGAAAACCAUGAAUUGUGGUCUAAAAUAAUUAAAUUGGUUGCACUAAAUCUCUUUUUUCCUUAAAUGCUGAUCAAACAUAUCUAUUCAGCUAUGCCUUCACAUAGCUUAUUGCUUUAUAUAAGCAACGGUGUUUGUGUUAUGCAAUCUAGUCGCUGUGAAUAAUUGUUCACCACAUGUGCCUUUGUAUGGAAAACUGUGUUGGAAUAGUAAUAAAGGUUUACAUUGAAAACAA